CAGAAUUGCAGCGGAGCUCAUUUAAAUGUUGGUGAGGAAACGGUGCUGUACUACGACUGCUAAAUGGCCAAUUACCCCACUCUUCCAAGCCAUCCCAGCCACUCUUCCACCCCCUCUGCCGAUCCGGGGAGGGCUGCAGACUACCACAUGCCUGCCCCAAUACAUGUGGAGUCUCCAGCUGCUUCUUUUCACCUGACAGUGAGGAGUUUCACCAAGGGGAUGUAGCGCGUGGGAGGAUCACACUAUUCCCCCCAGUUCCCCCUCCCCAUUCCCCUGAACAGGCGCCCCGACCGACCAGAGGAUGCGCUAGUGCAGC